GCCGGGCAUAGUGGCUCCUGCCUGUAAUCUCAGUUACUCAGGAGGCUGAGUCAGGAGGAUGGCAACUGUGUGAAGACAGUCUGGGCAAUUUAGUGAGACCCUGUCUCAA
rnacentral:sRNA from 1 species